UGGGGAAUUUUGGACAAUGGGGGCAACCCUGAUCCAGCCAUUCCGCGUGAGUGAAGAAGGCCUUCGGGUUGUAAAGCUCUUUCGGCAGGAACGAAACGGCGCGCUCUAACAUAGCGCGUUAAUGACGGUACCUGAAGAAGAAGCACCGGCUAACUACGUGCCAGCAGCCGCGGUAAUACGUAGGGUGCGAGCGUUAAUCGGAAUUACUGGGCGUAAAGCGUGCGCAGGCGGUUGUGUAAGACAGGUGCGAAAUCCCCGGGCUUAACCUGGGAACUGCGCUUGUGACUGCACGGCUAGAGUAUGGCAGAGGGGGGUGGAAUUCCACGUGUAGCAGUGAAAUGCGUAGAGAUGUGGAGGAACACCGAUGGCGAAGGCAGCCCCCUGGGCCAAUACUGACGCUCAUGCACGAAAGCGUGGGGAGCAAACA
rnacentral:rRNA from 1 species